UUUCCGUAGGUGAACCUGCGGAAGGAUCAUUAUCGAGUUAGGGUCUUUUUAGGCCCGACCUCCCAACCCUUUGUCUACCUUACCACUUGUUGCUUCGGCGGGCCCGUUCCUGAAAGGGGACCGCCGGAGGACGGUAACACGUCCUCUGGCCCGUGCUCGCCGACAGCCUCAACCUUAAAACUCUGAAUUAAACGUGUAUUAUCUGAGUAAAACCUUUAAAUUAAAGCAAAACUUUCAACAACGGAUCUCUUGGUUCUGGCAUCGAUGAAGAACGCAGC
rnacentral:misc_RNA from 1 species